AGCCAUGCCAGCUGGGAGCCUAGGAGUGCCAGACAGAGAGGCCACCCACCCGCAGUUAGAGAGACUUCCUCCUUCGCCGGCUCCUCAGAGCCACCACACCACAGGGCCAGAAUGGCUAUAAAUCUGUAAUGGGAGCCUUGGCAACCCCAGUGAGAAUGCCAGGACACAUGUAGCCCCUGGGGCUCAGAACACUCAGUCCUGGCAUCUACUGCCACUUGAUGGACACUCCCCACCACCUCUGUGCCCACAAGAACAAUGAG
rnacentral:lncRNA from 1 species